rnacentral:rRNA from 1 species
CAGUCGCCGCGGGAAUACAGAGGGUGCGAGCGUUAAUCGGAUUUACUGGGCGUAAAGCGCACGUAGGCGGAUAAUUAAGUCAGGGGUGAAAUCCCGCAGCUCAACUGCGGAACUGCCUUUGAUACUGGGUAUCUUGAGUAUGGAAGAGGUUAGUGGAAUUGCGAGUGUAGAGGUGAAAUUCGUAGAUAUUCGCAGGAACACCAGUGGCGAAGGCGGCUAACUGGUCCAUAACUGACGCUGAGGUGCGAAAGCGUGGGGAGCAAACAGGAUUAGAUACCCCCGUAGUCCCUGUCUCUUAUAC